UACGUAGGGGGCAAGCGUUAUCCGGAAUUAUUGGGCGUAAAGCGCGCGCAGGCGGUCGGUUAAGUCAGGUGUGAAAGGCUGCGGCUCAACCGCAGAGCGGCAUCUGAAACUGGUCGACUUGAGUGCAGGAGAGGGGAGCGGAAUUCCCGGUGUAGCGGUGGAAUGCGUAGAGAUCGGGAGGAACACCAGUGGCGAAGGCGGCUCUCUGGCCUGUAACUGACGCUGAGGCGCGAAAGCGUGGGUAGCAAAC
rnacentral:rRNA from 1 species